rnacentral:rRNA from 1 species
GCUGGGCGCAUGCUUUACCAUGCAGUCGAACGGUAACAGGCCUUCGGGUGCUGACGAGUGGCGAACGGGUGAGUAAUGCAUCGGAACGUGCCCAGAGGUGGGGGAUAACGCAGCGAAAGCUGUGCUAAUACCGCAUGUGAUCUGAGGAUGAAAGCGGGGGACCAAGCAGCAAUGUUUGGCCUCGCGCCUCUGGAGCGGCCGAUGUCAGAUUAGGUAGUUGGUGGGGUAAAGGCCUACCAAGCCGACGAUCUGUAGCUGGUCUGAGAGGACGACCAGCCACACUGGGACUGAGACACGGCCCAGACUCCUACGGGAGGCAGCAGUGGGGAAUUUUGGACAAUGGGCGCAAGCCUGAUCCAGCAAUGCCGCGUGCGGGAAGAAGGCCUUCGGGUUGUAAACCGCUUUUGUACGGAACGAAAAGGCUCUGGCUAAUACCUGGGGCUGAUGACGGUACCGUAAGAAUAAGCACCGGCUAACUACGUGCCAGCAGCCGCGGUAAUACGUAGGGUGCGAGCGUUAAUCGGAAUUACUGGGCGUAAAGCGUGCGCAGGCGGUCUUGUAAGACAGAGGUGAAAUCCCUGGGCUCAACCUAGGAAUGGCCUUUGUGACUGCAAGGCUGGAGUGCGGCAGAGGGGGAUGGAAUUCCGCGUGUAGCAGUGAAAUGCGUAGAUAUGCGGAGGAACACCGAUGGCGAAGGCAGUCCCCUGGGCCUGCACUGAC